rnacentral:rRNA from 1 species
AGUGAACGCUGGCGGUAGGCCUAACACAUGCAAGUCGAACGGCAGCACAGUAAGAGCUUGCUCUUACGGGUGGCGAGUGGCGGACGGGUGAGGAAUACAUCGGAAUCUACUUUUUCGUGGGGGAUAACGUAGGGAAACUUACGCUAAUACCGCAUACGACCUACGGGUGAAAGCAGAGGAUCUUCGGACCUUGCGCGAUUGAAUGAGCCGAUGUCGGAUUAGCUAGUUGGCGGGGUAAAGGCCCACCAAGACGACGAUCCGUAGCUGGUCUGAGAGGAUGAUCAGCCACACUGGAACUGAGACACGGUCCAGACUCCUACGGGAGGCAGCAGUGGGGAAUAUUGGACAAAGGGCGCAAGCCUGAUCCAGCCAUACCGCGUGGGUGAAGAAGGCCUUCGGGUUGUAAAGCCCUUUUGUUGGGAAAGAAAAGCAGCAGGUUAAUACCCCGCUGUUCUGACGGUACCCAAAGAAUAAGCACCGGCUAACUUCGUG